UUCUCAUAACAUAACUAUGAGUAAAAUCUGCUCCAUGUAAAUAUAAAUAGCCGCAGAAAUUUUACUGUGCUAAGGUAGCAUAAUCAUUAGCCUUUUAAUUAAAGGCUAGAAUGAAAGAUUAAACAUUUAAAUUCCUUUUUUUAUUUUAAUAUAUUAAACUUAACCCAAAUAUAAAAAUGUAUUUAUAUAAUAAAAAGACGACAAGACCCUAUCGAACUUUACUUUAGUUUAGCUGGGGCAGCUAAUUAAUUAACAUUUUAAUUUAAAUAAUUAUAAAAACAGACCCAUUAAUAAUGAGUGUAUGAACAAGUUACCGUAGGGAUAACAGCGUAAUUUUCUUUAAAAGAUCAUAUUUAAAAGCAAGCUUACGACCUCGAUGUUGAAUAAUAUAACUGUUAAACGCAAUAGCUUAAUAAGUAGGUCUGUUCGACCUUUAAAUUAUUACA
rnacentral:rRNA from 1 species